AAGCCCCUACGGGACGCAGCAGUGGGGAAUAUUGCACAAUGGGGGAAACCCUGAUGCAGCAACGCCGCGUGAGUGAAGAAGUCAUUCGUGAUGUAAAGCUCUAUCAGCAGGGAAGAAAAUGACGGUACCUGAGUAAGAAGCCCCGGCUAACUACGUGCCAGCAGCCGCGGUAAUACGUAGGGGGCAAGCGUUAUCCGGAUUCACUGGGUGUAAAGGGAGCGUAGCCGGCCAGACAAGU
rnacentral:rRNA from 1 species